UUGAACGCUGGCGGCAGGCCUAACACAUGCAAGUCGGGCGGAUGAAGGGAGCUUGCUCCUGGAUUCAGCGGCGGACGGGUGAGUAAUGCCUAGGAAUCUGCCUGGUAGUGGGGGAUAACGUCCGGAAACGGGCGCUAAUACCGCAUACGUCCUGAGGGAGAAAGUGGGGGAUCUUCGGACCUCACGCUAUCAGAUGAGCCUAGGUCGGAUUAGCUAGUUGGUGGGGUAAAGGCCUACCAAGGCGACGAUCCGUAACUGGUCUGAGAGGAUGAUCAGUCACACUGGAACUGAGACACGGUCCAGACUCCUACGGGAGGCAGCAGUGGGGAAUAUUGGACAAUGGGCGAAAGCCUGAUCCAGCCAUGCCGCGUGUGUGAAGAAGGUCUUCGGAUUGUAAAGCACUUUAAGUUGGGAGGAAGGGCAGUAAGUUAAUACCUUGCUGUUUUGACGUUACCAACAGAAUAAGCACCGGCUAACUUCGUG
rnacentral:rRNA from 1 species